rnacentral:rRNA from 1 species
CACGUAGGGCGCAAGCGUUGUCCGGAAUUAUUGGGCGUAAAGAGCUCGUAGGCGGUCUGUUGCGUCCGCUGUGAAAACUCGGGGCUUAACCCCGAGCCUGCAGUGGAUACGGGCAGACUAGAGGUAGGUAGGGGGAGAAUGGAAUUCCCGGUGUAGCGGUGAAAUGCGCAGAUAUCGGGAGGAACACCUGUGGCGAAAGCGGCUCACUGGACCACAACUGACGCUGAUGCACGAAAGCUAGGGGAGCAAACAGG